UACGGGGGGGGCAAGCGUUGUUCGGAAUUACUGGGCGGAAAGGGUUUGUAGGUGGCUUGCUAAGUCAGACGUGAAAUCCCUCAGCUUAACUGGGGAACUGCGUCUGAGACUGGCGAGCUUGAGUGCAGGAGAGGAACGCGGAAUUCCAGGUGUAGCGGUGAAAUGCGUAGAUAUCUGGAGGAACACCGGUGGCGAAGGCGGCAUCCUGGACCAAGACUGACACUGAAAAGCAAAAGCCAGGGGAGCAAACGGG
rnacentral:rRNA from 1 species